CGGUGUCCCAUUUUUUUUUAUGUGUUUUCUACCUUUGUUUUCAUGUUUUUCUUCGAGUUACUCAAUUCUUUGCAGCUUUUUCUUAUUGUAAAGCUAUAAAACUAGGCAUUUUAUUCCAAAAGUAUUUCUGCAUGUGAAUGUUUUUAGUUUGAAAGUAAACUUUGUCAUCUUUACUGUUUGACAUGUACAGUGUUAGGUGCUUUUCCAUGUCAUGAAAUGGAUUUUCUUUUUUCUCUUUUUAAUUGCAGAAAAUGUUUUUCACAUCAUGUAUUUUGAUCACAAUGUCCCUUCCCCCAGCUUCUUCCAGAUUUUUCCUACCUGCCCCCCCAACUCAAAACACAUUUUCAAAACCCAUAAAUUUUGGUACAUGGCAUUUUCAUUAUUAUUGAGUUCUUUGCGAUUCCUUAUUUCUGUGAGAUUUCUUUUGAGGAGCCUAGGAAUUAUGGCUCUGUCAAACCACUUACUAGAACACUGGAAGCCCCUGGGUUCAAACCCCACACUACAAUGAAACAAACAGACCAAAAAAAAAAAAAAAAA
rnacentral:lncRNA from 1 species